AGUCGAGCGCAGGAAGUUAUCUGAUCCUCUUUUAGAGGUGACGAUAAUGGAAUGAGCGGCGGACGGGUGAGUAACACGUAGGCAACCUGCCUGUAAGACUGGGAUAACUCGUGGAAACGCGAGCUAAUACCGGAUAACACUUUUCAUCUCCUGAUGAUAAGUUGAAAGGCGGCUUUUGCUGUCACUUACAGAUGGGCCUGCGGCGCAUUAGCUAGUUGGUAAGGUAAUGGCUUACCAAGGCGACGAUGCGUAGCCGACCUGAGAGGGUGAUCGGCCACACUGGGACUGAGACACGGCCCAGACUCCUACGGGAGGCAGCAGUAGGGAAUCUUCCGCAAUGGACGAAAGUCUGACGGAGCAACGCCGCGUGAGUGAUGAAGGUUUUCGGAUCGUAAAACUCUGUUGUUAGGGAAGAACAAGUGCCAUAGUAACUGAUGGCACCUUGACGGUACCUAACCAGAAAGCCACGGCUAACUACGUGCCAGCAGCCGCGGUAAUACGUAGGUGGCAAGCGUUGUCCGGAAUUAUUGGGCGUAAAGCGCUCGCAGGCGGUUCUUUAAGUCUGAUGUGAAAUCUUACGGCUCAACCGUAAACGUGCAUUGGAAACUGGGGAACUUGAGUGCAGAAGAGGAGAGUGGAAUUCCACGUGUAGCGGUGAAAUGCGUAGAGAUGUGGAGGAACACCAGUGGCGAAGGCGACUCUCUGGUCUGUAACUGACGCUGAGGAGCGAAAGCGUGGGGAGCGAACAGGAUUAGAUACCCUGGUAGUCCACGCCGUAAACGAUGAGUGCUAGGUGUUAGGGGGUUUCCGCCCCUUAGUGCUGAAGUUAACGCAUUAAGCACUCCG
rnacentral:rRNA from 1 species